AGCUGAUCAAUGCUGUGGUGCUUACAACUAAUGGAUCACAAACCAGCUAUAGAUUCAGUUGUUCCUUCUCCACUCCUACUGUUUCACUUGUCUAGCCUUAA
rnacentral:Y_RNA from 1 species